UCUCUGUGAUGAUCCAAAACGCGCUGAGCAAAACGUAGUUGGUCCUUCGUUUGCGGCGGCUGAUGUUUACUGUCCUUUCAAGACGGGGCUGAGAGAAGC
rnacentral:snoRNA from 1 species